CUACCAUGCAGUCGAGCGGUAGCACAGGGGAGCUUGCUCCCUGGGUGACGAGCGGCGGACGGGUGAGUAAUGUCUGGGAAACUGCCUGAUGGAGGGGGAUAACUACUGGAAACGGUAGCUAAUACCGCAUAACGUCGCAAGACCAAAGAGGGGGACCUUCGGGCCUCUUGCCAUCAGAUGUGCCCAGAUGGGAUUAGCUAGUAGGUGGGGUAAUGGCUCACCUAGGCGACGAUCCCUAGCUGGUCUGAGAGGAUGACCAGCCACACUGGAACUGAGACACGGUCCAGACUCCUACGGGAGGCAGCAGUGGGGAAUAUUGCACAAUGGGCGCAAGCCUGAUGCAGCCAUGCCGCGUGUGUGAAGAAGGCCUUCGGGUUGUAAAGCACUUUCAGCGAGGAGGAAGGUGGUGAGCUUAAUACGCUCAUCAAUUGACGUUACUCGCAGAAGAAGCACCGGCUAACUCCGUGCCAGCAC
rnacentral:rRNA from 1 species